rnacentral:lncRNA from 9 species
UUUUUUUUUUUUUUUUGUCUUUUUGUCUUUUCUAGGGCCGCUUCCACAGCAUAUGGAGGUUCCCAGGCUAGGGGUCUAAUUAGAGCUGUAGCUGUCAGCCUAUGCCAGAGCCACAGUAACUCAAGAUCUGAGCCGUGUCUGCAACCUACACCACAGCUCACGGCAACGCUGUGAGGUCAGGGAUCAAUCGAACCCACAAUCUCAUGGUUCCUAGUUGGAUUCAUUAACCACUGAGCCACGAUGGGAACUCCUGGGCACUAUUCUUAGUGAAAUAGGUCAGACAAAGACAAUACCCUAUGCUUUAACUUAUAUGUGGAAUCUAAAAAUAAAAGAAAAAAUGAAUAUAAGCAUUAAUAUCAGAAAACAGAAACACAUUCACAGAUACAGAGAACAAAGCAGUGGUUACCAGUGCAGAAGAGGAAAGGGAGAAGGGCAAGACAGGGAAAGGGCAUUAAGAGAUGCAAACUACAAAAUAUAAAAUAAAUAAGCUCCAAGGAUAUAUUGGAUAGGACAGGGAAUAUAGCCUAUAUUUAAUAAUAACUUCAGAUGAACUAUAAUCUAUAAAAAUUUCGAAACUAUGCUGUACACCUAAAACUAAUAGAGUAUUAUGAAUCAACUAAAUUUCAAUUUAAAAAAAUCCUAAGAUUGACGAAGUCUAAUUUUCCAAAUGUCUUUAAGUACACUCCAUCCAAGAAUAAUAUCACUUCUUUACUGGCCCCGAACCAGAGCCCUUCAUAGGGAUAAAGGUGCUGCACAUGCACUUAUUUAUUCACCAGGGAUUUAAAAGAGACAUGUAGGUUUCCAUGUAGGUGUAGCAUCUUCUGGACUGAAUAUGGCGAUCAGGAGCCUGCCUUAUUCCUUCCAUGUCAACAUAAGAAAUCCAACACUGCCAACCUGGCUAAAAACCUUUUCCUCCAAAGUCUAUGUCCUAAAAUAAAAAUAAAAGAGAAAACAAUUUUUCAAAAGUAAAGUGAUUUAAUAAGAAGCAAGCCAUUCCAAGAGAAGGUUUGGCUGGUCCUGUCUGGAGAUGGUUGUUUCACAGGGCACAGCCUCGUGGUCAGUGUGCCAGUGAACACGCAGCUGCAGGAUAAAAAAAGGAUCUUCUUGAUGAUUUCCAAUCUGGGGAUUUGGAUUCUAGAUACAUUUAAAGUUUUGGAUAGAACUCCAGAAACUCUACAAAUACAGUGUCUCUGUGAUCAGGUGCUGAAGAAGAAUGACCAUAUGAAAAUGAUGUCAAGAAAAAUCACCAGAAAGGCAGGUCACUAACUACGAUUCAUCAGGAAAAGACCCUAGUCAACAUCCUAGAGUUUAGUAGGAUAACAAAUAAACAUCAGCAUAGAUUUUCUUUCAUCCUUUACAUGGUAGCAGGACAAUGCAGUUGGAAGGUCAAGAAAAAUAAUAAGAAUCAGUGACCUACAAUGAAGAGAGAGGUUGAACAAUAAUGCCUGGGAUCUUGGUUCUGCAACCCAAAGUGUGUGGAUGGGAGCCAGUGACUUUUUGAGCCUCAAAUUCCUUGUCAGAAAAUUAUAAGGUCAUCGAAUACAGUAUUGAGCUGUCUCCCACAGACGUUGUAUGCUCUUAAGUAUUAUAAGUAGUUUGCAACUAUAUAAAUUUCCACAUAAAUAAUAAAUGAUUGUUAAUGUUGAUGCUGGAUUUGGGGGAAAAAAAAGUAAUUAGAUACUAGUUUCAACUCCAAAAUUUACAAAGGGCAAACUGUCAAGGAAAAUGGAUGUAUUGUCCUUCAGUUUUACUAGAAGGCAUCCCAUUUAGUGAAAAAGCAGAGAAAGGAAGCUUCUACCCCAAAACUGCAGGAAGCAUUUUGUUUCUAGAAGGGUGAGAUCUACAUCCUAAAGAAAACCAGUGUGACCUAGUGGUCCCAGUACAUUAAAAUGAAACCAAGGACCCAGUGCUUUUAAUACACCAUGGUGACUUCUGUUAUUCAAAGGGGUUGUGAAAAUAUCAGGAGAAAUAGGCUCAAAGGGUGAUUAAAUUCAUCUUACACUAAUUAAAGAAAAUGUAUGUCAUCUGAAAAGAGAAACUGCAGAUGAUUGAGUUCAAUGCAUCAGACAUAAGAAAGGUAAUAAGGAGUUCCUGUUGUGGCUCAGUGGUUAACAAACCUGACUAGUAUCCAUGAGGAGCUAGGUUUGAUCCCUGGCCUUGCUCAGUGGGUUAAGGAUCUGGCAUUGCCCUGAGCUGUAGUUUAGGUCACAGACACAGCUCGGGUCUGGCGUGGCUGUGGCUGUGUUGGGCAGCUAUAAGCUCUGAUACGACCCCUAGCAUGGGAACCUCCAUAUGCCGUGGGUGUGCCCCCCCCAAAAAAAAACCCCAAAAGAGAAAGGAAACAGAUCAUGGCCAAGGAAAGCAGACUUGUGGAUGACAGGGGGAAAGGGGGAGGGAGUGGGAUGGAUGAUGGACAGGGGCUUGGGGAUGGAUGGCAAUGGGGCCCUACUGUAUAGCACAGAGAACUGCAAUUUAAAAAAAAAAAAAGAGAGAGGUCACUGACAGCCUCAAAAAAAAAAAAGACCAAAAAAAUGAAACACAUGCACAUGUGCGCACAGACACACACACACACAGACACACACCCCAUGGAUUUCUUCUACGUCCUGGCUGCAAGUGGCCUUAUUGAAUUCAGGCUACUCUGCUAUCACCCUCUAAGUAUGUCUUGAUUAGCUGAUUGUUGCUAUACUUAGAAUGUCAAGUCAAAGCAUGUCAGGGGAAGGAAAAAUAAAGAUCAGACGCUGCCUCUGUAGCCCAGAAGGAUCUGGGAUAAACUAACUGAUCAGGAAGGAGCAAUACUGUUUCUUGGGUUGCUUAGAUUGGCCAUCUCUGAAAAAAAGCAAUUUUAUUUACUGGGUGAAAAUCUGCUUGAAAAAGGAAUCCUUAUACAGUGUACAUUAUGCCUCUCUGGUUUGGAACAAGCUUUUGUUCAAUUGCAGUUAAUAACUUCCUAGAUAUAAGGGCCAAUAAUUGGUUUAUAAUUAUGAUGGCGCUAUCACAAAUCAUGUUUGUUUUCUCUAAAAAUCUAUCUACAAGUAAAUGGAGUAACUACCCCAAAAGUUGCACUAGUCCUUAUCUUUCUUUUAAGUGGUCUUAGUAGCCAUAUUCCUCUUCUUUACAUAUGACACUACAUUAGUGAAGGCAUCUAACGAAAUGCAAAAACAAUUUGUUCUGUAUAUAUUUGUAUUAAAAUACAGAAAAUGAUUUCAUAGUACUCCUCUAGCAUUACGUAUUGUUUUAUUUUUAGCUCUCUGCAUGUGUUAAGUUCAAUAUGUAUAUAACUCUUUGGACUGGUAUUUUUUACCUUGUCGGAAAUAUUCCAAUAAUCUAAAAACAGCUUGAAAACAGCUGUACCAUGUGUAGAAACUCAUCUACAACUAGUGCCUCCAUCCUAUAUAAGCUAAGAGCUAUCUGUUUGUAUAACCCCCACCCCCUGCCCAGCCCAGCAUGCACUUGUUGGAAAUGUGUCCUUUUUGAAAUAAAUUUGAUGUGGUAGGUAUAAUACACAUUUACUCCUUCCACUGGACUCUUUCUUUAUCAAAUAUUCAUUAAAGUAAGUGCCACUUUAGUGCAACAGUGCUUAAAGAUAUGCUGAGAUUCAUGGCAGUCAGCUGUAAACAAAGGAAGCCCACAGGGGAUCAAGUGCUUUCUGAAGUGGUGGAAUCAGGGCAUCUGGGCUUAUCUUUUUCUCCAAAAACUGAAAUUUGUCAGAUACCUCCCAGAUGCACUAGAACCAGCCAUGGUAAGAGCUUAAGUGCUCAUUUUCAUACAAAUUUUACGACCAAUGGUCAUAUUGGUGUUGUCUCUAGACAGACCAUGUCUUCACCAAUCAUUGGUUCCUAAUCUUUUUUUUUAAUACAAUGUUGAUCAUUAGUUUUCUACUUCUGUUAACUAUUUUCUGUCUCUAAAAAAUUAAUUGAUGGAGUAGUUUCUUCAAGGAUAGCCGAGUAGAAUACAAACUAUUCUGCAAAGAAAGAUAAGAGGCAAAUUUAACGUUCCACUCUCUGAAACAAGGUGGGAAGUUUGACCAUCACCAAAAACACACCUGCUUUUAACACAGACAACUCUACCCAAUAUUCUGUGACCAUCUGGGUGGGAAGAGAAUCUGAAAGAGAAUGGAUGUGUGUACAUGUAUAACUGAUCACUUUGUUGUAUAGCAAAAAUUAUCACAACCUUGUAAAUCGACUAUACUUCAAUAAAACUUUUAAAAAAUGAAAAAAAACAAAACACAGCAGCGCUUAGCAUACGCUCACUUAGCAGCUCUUUCUAUGGCAAAGGCCAAAGGGUGUCAGGCAAAAGGAAAGCAGUACGUGGAGGGUGAGUAUGGACCCCUUAAUCCUACACACUAGGGCACAAUGUCUUCUCUUUCCUGGACUUGGAAAGUGGCAAAAAGUCUUAAACUCCCAGAGCUCCUGAGGAGAUCACCCAGACAAGCACCUCACCCAAGAUCAUGUCCAAGAAAAUCUCAAAAGUCACUCUGCUGACAUAUGUCCUUGUAAAGCCUCUGCCCCAUAAGACUGGCAGACCCUAGGUCUCAGGUCAUGCUUGCUGGAGAAUGAAUGAGCAUCUCUGAAACAGACCCCACUUAAGACUGAUACAGAACCACAGAUCCCACUGAUGCCCAGCUGGCCCCAGGAAGAUGCCCCUGUAGGAGCAGGGAACCAGAGUCAGGACCCCACCAGAGGGUGUGGAAAGUCAGCAUGCAAGGAACAGGGGAGCAAACAUCCAGUACUUAAUCCACCCCUUGCCCACAUGUCCUCCGGGUUGCCAACACAGAGGCCUCCCUGUCCUCUUCUUCAGGCCCAGCAGAUAGGGGGUGCAGGCAAAUUUCGGCGUUGGCUGUACUUGGCCAUGCUGGAUGUGAGAGACAUGCACGUUCCUGUGGUUGGCUGUCUGGACCCACUUGACUUUGAAGGUUUUGUGUUUUGCUAACAGCCGCUGGGGUCCUGGGUAGCCUGUUAUGAAAGUCUUGGUCACUGGACCCUGGACAAUCUUGAAUUCUAACACCACCAUGUAGAGUGUACCUGUGUCACUCUACCCUGAGCUGUCACAUGUAGGGACUUGAUAAAAGAAAUGUUCACAUGGUGAGGUACAGGGAAGCCAUUCUAGCUUAUGCAUGAGCUAACUUGAGUUUUCUGCCAACUAGAACAAUUAGCCUAUUUGUGUCCUCUCAGCAUACACUGUACAUCAUUGCAGAAGCAAUGUCUACAUUAAAAACACAUAUUGAAUAAAUGUACCCCUUCCUGGGAUACCAACACUGGUCCUCCUUUGAUGAUAAGACUCCCUUCCCAGGUGCCAAGGCCACCCUGACCUGCUGUGGACAUGCUGGUUUGUUUUUCUGAAAGCUCAAGGAAUGUAACUGAUUUGUGUGAUGUUGCGUUCUAAGAAGACACAAAACUGUGUGGGAAAGCCUGCUUCUCUGGAGUAGCUCCUCAGCACUAUUUCAGAAGCUAUCCUCUGGCCUAGACCCCUCAGUUUGGCUUAAGUAAAACUUGUCUAUUUUUAUCAUAGAUUGUUUAUUGAUUCUUUUCGUCGAGAGACGCUACCUUUGAACAUUCAACACGACUUAUCAAUUCAAUGGUCAGUCAUGCUUGGGUGGUGAAGUCUAGGCCAGAAGAAAAGGUCCAGAGUCUGCCCCAUUAUAGUGGGGGUGAGAGUUGAGUUUAAGUCACUGCAUAGAGCCCUAAUCACGUUAUAGAUUUUAAUCACCCUGAGUCUCCAAUUCCACUAAUAACUCCUCAGGUUCCGAAAGAUACCAUUUACUGUACCACCUACUGAAGACCUCAUCUACCUCAGCUUUUCCCAAGGCUCACCCAGCAAGGUAUGCUGUUUCAAAGGUUCUCUGACAAGGAACCUCAGAUUCUUUUUUUGGAAAAUCUAAGCAAUUCCCAAACCCACUCAGCCCACAAAAGCAUCCCAUGGAGUCAAGAAUGCUCACAGCCAAUGACCUUUCACACAAUCUCAUUUUGAAAAGUUUCCUAUUCUUCUGUUGUUUCUCUCAAGGUCCCUUUGUUCAAGGCUUCCCAACCAUAAAUGACUCUAGUGCACAUUUCUUCAAAGUGACUGUUCUGAGCAUUUAAUGUGAUUCAACCCAAGUGUGAUCCAUGAGGCCAAAUCAUGACAGGGAUCCAAUUAUCACUUGACCUGAUGGAGAAAUCGAUAUUUUUUUAAAUCUGUCAAUGAAGUAGUUAAUGUAAAAGUAUUCUGAACAUCCCAAAGAAUGGCAGAAACUAGUAUCAGGAUGAUUAUUAGGGAACAUAAGACACUGGUUGGUAUCUAAAUAUAACUAUUAAAUUAUUGCUCUCUACUUACAAAUAAUUUCUCUCCAGAAAAACAGAGUUUGCCCCAAUGGUACUUCUGUAACCAUAACUGGAAUUGGUAGACUAAUUUUCAAUUGUCAUCAUAAAAUCAUUGUAACGUUAAGAGCAGUUGGAGUUCCCAUUCUGGUUCAGUGGAAAAGAAUCUGACUAACAUCCAAGAGGAUGCAGGUUUGAUCCCUGGUCUCACUCAGUGGCUUAAGGAUCUGGCAUUGCUGUGAGCUGUGGUAUACGCUGGCAGCUGCAGUUCAGAUUCAACCCCUGGCCUGGGAACUUCCAUAUGCAAUGGGUUCAGUUGUAAAAAAAAGAAAAAAAAAAAAAGAGUAGUAACUGCCAGACUCCAUUCUAAGCUUUUUACAGGUGCUUAUUCACUGAAUCCCUGUAAUGCUGAGUCCAGUUAAUAGCCCCUUACAAAGUUGAGGAAAUAGUAUGUGAGAGGAAAGCCUCACGUUCUUUAAGGCACACACACUUUUAGGGUCAGAUGGGCAAACUGAACAAACUGAACCCUGAUUGUUUAGCUGCCUGGAGAAUGCAUCAAAUACAUGAAACAAGGCAUUUCUGCAUAGCCAUCCUCUCUAAAACAGAACCUCUGAGCACACAAAGAUUUAAGACAAAUGAUUUCUAGCCUACAACACUUGUGGCCAAUCUGAAAGACAGACUGGUUCUCAUUCUGUGGAGUGAUUUCCUAAUUCAAGUACUUUUGAUCAUUAAGAAAUGUAAAGAAGGUAUUGUCUAAAUUGUACUAAUUUGAGCAGUCCCCAUAAAUAUUUCAGUGUGGUGGAAUUUAAAGUGUUGCAUUCUUUGUAAUUUAAGAUUCUGCCAUGACAAAUGUGUCCUUCAAAUUAUCUUUGGUAGAAAUACAUUAACUAUUAACAUAAAAGUGGCAUCAGCUAGGUAACAUUGUGGCACUAUGUAUUUAAUAACCUAAAAAAAAUGACCUCAGUCAAGUAUUUAACAAAGUAGCAAAAUCCUUCAACAGUUUUCCAUCUUAUUGAGGGUCCUACAGCACCCCUAGUAGUUCUGGACCUUCUCAGAAGCAUGAAGGUUGAAUGUUGUACUUGUCAAGCUGCCAGGAUAUCAGGUUUUAAAUUUAAGCCUACGGCAUUCCUAGCCAUACUGUCUUCCCAGAUUAUUAUGUCCAGAGAUUAUCACUGCUGCAGGAGGAUAGGGAGGGAGGGAGAAGGGGGGAUGACGGACAGUCUUGCCUUGGGGUGGGGGGGAUGGAGUGCUGGUCACCAAGAAGUGUAUGGGCUCCCAAAGAAAGAGUGUUUGCCUAGGCUGCCUUCUGCCUUAGUUUUCCCUAUGAGUUUGUGCAAUAUGCAAGUUCUCUGGACACAGUAAAAUGAGAACGUAGAUUUAUAAAACGUGAAGGUCCCUUCAAGUUCAAAAAUCUUAUCAUCUCUCUCUGCUCAUCAGCAUGACCUGAGAAAAGCUACUUGUCACUUUUUUUUUUUCCAGGUAAUACUUUUCAAUUUAAGAACUAUUAUUUUAAUUAGAGAAAUCUGAUGUAGUUAGCCAAAAAGUCAAACAACAUUUAAACAUCAGUGUUAUAAAGUGUGCAUCUUUUCAGAUAGUUGCACACAUGCAUAGAAGCAACUUGGCCUUUCCCUAUAUGAAAGUGGGGACAAAAUAUAUACACUAUUUUGAAUUUUCAACUUAAUCCUUUAUCAUGGACAUACUUUCAUAUAGGUAAUAUGGUACAUGACACAACAAUUUAUUUAGCUAUUUUAGGAUGAUGGAUAUUUAAGCUCUAACUUUUUUGCUAUUAGAAAGAGGACUAAAAUGAAUACACAUAUAUUACUGCAGAAUGUAUCAGGUUUCUAGGUUAAAAUACGAUAACUUAGAAUUUUGAUUGGUAUGACCAAAUUAUCCCCCCCCAUUUUUAUCUUUUUAGGGCUGCACCUUAGACAUACAGACGUUCCCAGGCUAGGAGUCGAAUCUGAGCUGCAGCU